GGUUCAGGAUGAACGCUAGCUACAGGCUUAACACAUGCAAGUCGAGGGGCAGCAUGAGCUUAGCUUGCUAAGCUUGAUGGCGACCGGCGCACGGGUGAGUAACGCGUAUCCAACCUUCCCCUUAGUAGGGCAUAGCCCGGUGAAAAUCGGAUUAAUACCCUAUGUUCUUCACAGCGGACAUCUAACGUGAAGCAAAGGUUCACCGCUAAGGGAUGGGGAUGCGUCUGAUUAGGUAGUCGGCGGGGUAACGGCCCACCGAGCCAUCGAUCAGUAGGGGUUCUGAGAGGAAGGUCCCCCACAUUGGAACUGAGACACGGUCCAAACUCCUACGGGAGGCAGCAGUGAGGAAUAUUGGUCAAUGGGCGCGAGCCUGAACCAGCCAAGUAGCGUGCAGGAUGACGGCCCUAUGGGUUGUAAACUGCUUUUAUGCGGGGAUAAAGUCACCCACGUGUGGGUGUUUGCAGGUACCGCAUGAAUAAGGACCGGCUAAUUCCGUGCCAGCCGCCGC
rnacentral:rRNA from 1 species